rnacentral:rRNA from 2 species
GUCGAGCGAACGAGGGCUUGACCUCUUGGUUAGCGGGGACGGGUGAGUAACACGUGGGCAACCUGGCUGGAAGACUGGGAUAACACCGGGAAACCGGUGCUAAUACCGGAUAAUCCUUUUCCUCUCAUGAGGAAAAGCUGAAAGUCGGUUUACGCUGACACUUACAGAUGGGCCCGCGGCGCAUUAGCUAGUUGGUGAGGUAACGGCUCACCAAGGCGACGAUGCGUAGCCGACCUGAGAGGGUGAUCGGCCACACUGGGACUGAGACACGGCCCAGACUCCUACGGGAGGCAGCAGUAGGGAAUCUUCCGCAAUGGACGAAAGUCUGACGGAGCAACGCCGCGUGAGCGAUGAAGGCCUUCGGGUCGUAAAGCUCUGUUGUUAGGGAAGAACAAGUACCGGAGUAACUGCCGGUACCUUGACGGUACCUAACCAGAAAGCCACGGCUAACUACGUGCCAGCAGCCGCGGUAAUACGUAGGUGGCAAGCGUUGUCCGGAAUUAUUGGGCGUAAAGCGCGCGCAGGCGGUCCUUUAAGUCUGAUGUGAAAGCCCACGGCUCAACCGUGGAGGGUCAUUGGAAACUGGGGGACUUGAGUACAGAAGAGGAAAGCGGAAUUCCACGUGUAGCGGUGAAAUGCGUAGAGAUGUGGAGGAACACCAGUGGCGAAGGCGGCUUUCUGGUCUGUAACUGACGCUGAGGCGCGAAAGCGUGGGAGCAAACAGGAUUAGAUACCCUGGGUAGUCCACGCCGUAAACGAUGAGUGCUAAGUG